UACGUAGGGUGCGAGCGUUAAUCGGAAUUACUGGGCGUAAAGCGUGCGCAGGCGGUUCGCUAAGACCGAUGUGAAAUCCCGGGCUUAACCUGGGAACUGCAUUGGUGACUGGCGGGCUAGAGUAUGGCAGAGGGGGGUAGAAUUCCACGUGUAGCAGUGAAAUGCGUAGAGAUGUGGAGGAAUACCGAUGGCGAAGGCAGCCCCCUGGGCCAAUACUGACGCUCAUGCACGAAAGCGUGGGGAGCAAACAGG
rnacentral:rRNA from 1 species